rnacentral:rRNA from 1 species
GGCUUAUUGAUAAAGGAUUUUAGGUCUAGCCUGCCCCCUGAUAUAUUUAAAUGGCCGCAGUAUUUUGACUGUGCUAAGGUAGCAUAAUAAUUAGUUUUUUAAUUGAAAGCUAGAAUGAAUGGUAUUAUGAAAAAAUUACUGUCUCUUUUAAAAAAUUAAAAUUUUAUUUUUAAGUUAAAAAGCUUAAAUGUUAUUAAAAGACGAGAAGACCCUAUAGAAUUUUAUUUAAAUUAAUUUUUAAUAAGUUAGUAUAUAAAAUUUGAAAAUAAAUUUAUAUUUAGUUGGGGUGAUUAAAAAAAUUAAGUAUCUUUUUUUUAUAUUAACAUUAAUUUAUGAUUUUAUGAUUCAUGUUUAUGAUUUAAGAAUAAAUUACCUUAGGGAUAACAGCGUAAUUUUUUUUUAGAGCCCUAAUCAAAAAAAAAGAUUGCGACCUCGAUGUUGGAUUAAAAUUUAUUUUUGGUGUAGUAGCUAAAGUAUUAAGUCUGUUCGACUUUAAAAAUUUUACA